GCCCAGUGCUCUGAAAGUCAACGUGAAGAAAUUCAAAGAAGCGCGGGUAAACGGCGGGAGUAAAUAUGACUCUCUUUUCGGCUGCCAAAAGCAAUACGC
rnacentral:ncRNA from 1 species